rnacentral:sRNA from 1 species
GCUGGGCAUGGUGGCUCAGGCCUGUGAUCCCAGCACUUUGGGAGGCCGAGGUGGGUGGACUACCUGAGGUCAGGAGUUCAAGACCAGCCUGGCCAACAUGGUAAAACCCUGUCUCUACUAAAAACACAAAAAUUAGGCCAGGAGCAGUGGCUCAUGCCUAUAAUCCCAACACUUUGGGAGGCUGAGGCCACCAUGACCAGCUAAUUUUUGCAUUUUCAGCAGAGACGGGGUUUCACCAUGUUGGUCAGGCGGGUCUUGAACUCCUGACCUGAGGUGAUCCACCUGCCCU